AUUUCAUUCCUGGGCUACUAUAAAGUCCCAAAGGCAGCGUAACCAAUCUGGCGAAUUUCAAUUUCAAAUGUAACGUGCUAUAUUUGACCCUGUAACUUCCCAAAACGCCAUAAAACCUGUACAUAGGGGGUACUGUUUUACACAUGAGACUUUGCUGAAUACAAAUAUGUGUAUUUUAUUGCAGUAAAAGCAAACCGUAUUAUGACAUUGACAGUUAAAAUGUCAUGUAGAACUAAAAAA